UACGUAGGGUGCGAGCGUUAAUCGGAAUUACUGGGCGUAAAGCGUGCGCAGGCGGAUUGUUAAGCAAGACGUGAAAUCCCCGGGCUUAACCUGGGAAUGGCGUUUUGAACUGGCAGUCUAGAGUGCGUCAGAGGGGGGUGGAAUUCCACGUGUAGCAGUGAAAUGCGUAGAGAUGUGGAGGAACACCGAUGGCGAAGGCAGCCCCCUGGGAUGACACUGACGCUCAUGUACGAAAGCGUGGGUAGCAAACAGGAUUAGAUACCCUGGUAGUCCACGCCCUAAACGAUGAUCACUGGGUGUUCGGGGAGCGAUCUCUGAGUACCGUAGCUAACGCGUGAAGUGAUCCGCCUGGGGAGUACGGUCGCAAGAUUA
rnacentral:rRNA from 1 species